CGAGUUUAGAAUCGGUGUGAUUUCGGAUACACUAGCAGUCACCAUGUUAUUUUCAUCCCUACCCCCACACAGUGUUUUUAAACAUCAUCUUUCAACGGCAACCUCUUCUCCCCCGCCUGCUCCUCCCCAGCGCCCCCGCCAACCCCCGCUACUGAAAAUCCCAAAGAAGGUGCUUUGGGUUUGUUUUUGGUUUCUGGGCUGUCGCUUUUCAUAGGUUUUCUUUUAAGCCAAAAUAACAGCACACAAGAAAGACGCUUGAGAUUGCUGGGAUCUCCGGAACCGGCGGCCGCAAAAUGACAAGUUGCUUCGCCCUUAUCUUGAAAAUUAACAGCAGCCCAAACACUGCAAUUUACUCACCGUCCUCCUUUCUCCUAAGCUGCCUCGCUGCUUGUUUUGUUAGGUCUAGUUCUACUGUGGAGGGAAGAAGGGUUUCUCGAAAAACUUUAUACGAAACAUUCAGGUCAUAGCUCCAACCUUUGGGCCCUGAGCAGUGUAAUCACGUGUGAUCAAAUGACCCCAGAGAGAAGACCCACGGACUUGGAUGUAAUUCAAAGUUGGCAACGUGUCACGAACUGGAACAAAGUCCUUCAUCUGUGAUGAAUUUUCUGCUGUGAGAUAUCAGUGGGCAAGGAUGUGAUGCCUGAAGAUGUGGCAUCUACCUGGAAACAGUCAAGGACCUGAGGACAAAGCCAGCAUCUGAGGAAGACAGACAGAAAGGAUCUGGAUACAUGAUGAGGCAAAUGAGCUGCUAAAUUAUCCAAACCUGGAAUAAUAAUAUGUCAUUUAUCUAGGGAAGAAUAUCAAGUCAUAUGAAGUCCGAGACAAUGGGAAAAGAAGAGGUAUUCCUGUGCAGGCCCUCUUCCGGUUAGAAGCACUGAAACUUUAUU